rnacentral:antisense_RNA from 1 species
GGCAUUCCAGGCAAAGGAAGAGCCUGAAUGUGUCCUGAGUUCUUGCUUAGCAAAAUUGGAUCACCCUGCACUUUGGGAGGCCGAAGCAGGUGGAUCACCUGAGACUGAUGAUAGCAACUGGCUCUGAAUUGCUGCUUCUGCUCAACUUCCUGGAUGCUAGCAGUACCUAGGGAUGUAAAGACCUUUCAACUACAGCUCAUAGCAGGCCCUUGUGUCUGAGAAUGACUGCUUCUGUGAUCUGAUGAGCACAUGUGGUGUGCAUCCAGUGGCUCUGCUCUUAAACUAGGCCCAUGACUACCAACAGUCAUUCUUCCUGGGCUGCUGAGACCAGAAAAUAAAAGUGCCUUCCAAAUGGUUCACAGAUGCAGAGGGAUUUUGGCUCAGGAUGAAUUGCACCUUCAGUCUCACCCAAACCUGAUUUAGAUAAUAUUUCAAUGAGACUUUGGACUUUAGACUUUACAGUUGAUGCUGCAACCAAUAGAACAAGAAGAUGGCCAUCUGCAAACCAGGAAGACAGUCCUCAUCAGACACUGGAUCUGCCAGCACCUUGAUCCUGGACUUCACAGCCUCCAGAACUGUGAGAAAUACAUAUAUGUUUUUUAAAGCACCCAGUCUGUGGCACUUUGUUAUAGCAACCUGAACUAAAACAGUUGCUAUUGAACUCUGUUCAGAGCUCCAGAUGUCCUGUGCUGGCACUGGGCAGGGUGCUCUCCUGGGCCAUUUCAUCAGCUCAGAGGCCUCACCUUCCACCAUAUGCUGAAGACCUCAAACCUACAUCACAGUGAGACCUCCCAUGAGGUCUAGGCUAUUAAGUUGUAAGAUCUAUAAAAGCUUUCAUCACCUCACUUCCCUACUGGCCUUUACUCACCCUUCAAAAUGAUAAUUGUGUUAGUCAUUGAAAGAUGUGGCUGGGAUGAGAGUUCAGUAUACAGACUCUGCAGCUGGACUGCCUGGGUUCUGCCCUGGUUCCACC